AACACCACUUCAAAAACUCAGGCAAAAAAGAAAUAAGGGAAAUUAUAAAAUAUUCUGGACUGACUGAAAAUAAAGAUGGAAUUUCAAAACUUGUAAGAUUCAACUAAAGCAGCACUUAAAAGUUUAUAGUUUAAAACCCUUAUUCAAGGGAGAAAAACAUGUCUAAAAUCAAUUAUCUGAACUUAUGUCAUAAAAAAGUAGCAGGGCAAAUUAAAUACAUGAUAGGUAGAAAGAAUAAUAAAAUAUAAGCAAAAAUCAAUGAAAUUAAUGUGUUUUUUUUCAAAAAAUGAAACUAGACAUAGAUGAAGCAAGAAUUUAAAAGGAGACAUCACUAGAAAUCUUAUAGAAUCAAAUGGAAAAUAAGAAAAUAUGUAAUAAUUUUUUCCAGUUUUUGAGUGUGGUGAAUAGCCAACCAAAUUUACUAUCUUAAACAUUUCUAAGUGUAAAUCUCAAUAGAAUUAAAUAUAAUCAUAUUGUCAUGCAAACUUUGCCACUAUUAUGCAUCUCCAUUGGUAUAUUCACUUUGCGAAACUGACAUUCUAUACCCUUUCAGCAAUAACUCCUGAUUUUCUUCUUCAUGAAGCCUAUGACAAACACCAUUCUACUUUCUGUUACUAUGAUUUUGACUGAGUAACUAAUAUAUGUAGAAUCCCACAAGAUUUGUCUUCUUCUGGUUGCUUAUUUUAUUUAUGGUAAUGUCUAAUGUUGUAUAACAUACAUUAGGAUUUUGAUCCUUUUCAAGACUGAAUAAUUUUCUAUUGUAUGUUUAUGCCACAUUUUGCCUAUCCAUUCAUCUACUGAUUAAUACUAAGAUCACCUCCAUGUUUUUGUUGUUGUAAAUAAUGGUGCUAUAAACAUGGGUACACAAGUUUCUUUUUAACAUUUUGCCUUCACUUCGGGGGGUGGGGGGAAUGUAUCCAUACAUGGAAUUGCUGGAUUAUGUGAUUUCUGUUUUCAUUUUCAAAAAGAACUCUCAUAAUGUUUUCCACAGCAUCUGUAUCAUUUUACAUUCCCACCAACAGUACCCCAGACUCUGGUUUUUCUAAAUCUUUGUCAAUACUUGUUACUUUGUUUUGUUUUGUUUUGUUUCUUCAUCACAGUCAUCCCAGCCAUACUAACCUGUGUGAGGUAAGACCUUAUUGAUUUGCAUUUCCCUAAUGAUUAGUGAUGUGAAACAUCUCUUCAUACUUCAUAUACUAUUUGUAUAUUUUCUUUGGAGAAAUGUCUGUUCAAGUACUUUAACCAAUUUUAUUUAAGGUUGUUUGUUUUCUUGAUGAUGAGUUUUAUGGGUUCUCACCUUCUAUCCUGUUUUAUGCUACUAUAAAUGGAACAGAUUCUUGUAAUUUUUCUUUUCAGGUUGCUCAGUGUAAGUGUGUAGAAAUGCAACUGAUUUGGUGUGUUGACUUUGUAUCCUACUUUGCUGGGUUUAUUAAUUCCAACAGUUGUGUGUAUGUGUGUGUAAUCUUAAGGUUUUCUAUGUACAAGAUAUCAUCUGUGAACAGAGAUAACUUUACUUCUUCUUUUCUGAUUUGGAUCCCUGUUAUUUCUUUUUCUUGCCCAAUUACUCUGGUUAGCAAUUAUAUUACUCUGUUGAAUAGAAGUGGGCAGAGAUGAGUUCCUUGUCUUGCACCUCAUCUUAGAGGAAAAGCAUUCAGCCUUUUCAUCAUUAAGAUAUUCAGUAUGGUUUUUAUUAUGUAAUUUAAUAAAAUAGUAUUUUUUUACUAUUCCCCAAGAAUGGAGUGGUUUUUUUCUUUCAUGAAAGGGCUUUGAAUUUUGUUAAAUGUUCUUUCUAUAUUAAUUCAGAUGAUAUUACAAAUAAUUUUAUACCAAUAAAUUUAUCAAAAGAGGCAGAAUGAGAAAAUUCCUUGAAAGACUCAAAAGUUUCAUUAAAAAGAAACAUAUUUUGAAUAGUCCUCUAUCUAUUAAAGAAAUUAAAUGUAGAAAUAACUUCCUCACCCCCACCCUAUCCUAAGCCAGGAAAAGUUCACUGGAACUUCUGUCAAACACUCCAAUGUAUUUUAUGUCGUUAUGUUUCCCUUGAUAGCAAAAUUAGAACCCGAAUAUGCAAAAAAUAAAUUAUCCUGUUAGUUACAGGCCUAACCUUGAACAAGUUGCUUUAUGUCUCUGGUUUUCACGUUUCUCACUCCCAAACAUUUGGUAAAAUAUUCUUACUUAGAUUCUGACACUGGAAAGAAGAGCCCGGAGGAGAGACCAGCAUCUGCAUCACCUCCUGCCCAGCACUGCAGGGGCUAUACCACCUGCUCCUUUCCGAGCAGUGGCAGAAUUACACAAAGUGGCCAGCUGAGGAGUGUGGGAAGCCAUCCGUGAAUUACAUGAGGAUCUUCUCUCAGAGGCCCCCAGCAUGAUUUGGAUUCCACAUUACAGCGUGGGCAUUCCUGGUGGAAACUAGAAAGGGUGUCAUCUCCAAUAUAACCCGAGCUGCACCUUUGGACAAUGACAACUCCCAAAGACACCAGCAGCACAGAACCUGAGCCAAAAAGGAAAAAGAGAGGUUAAGUGAGGCAUGGUGGCUUGGAGAAAUACACCUCAGAGAACAUGCAUGACAGCCCGUGGAACUCUGAGAACUGCUGAGGAGAAAUUUAAGGAAGAAUGGAAUUCCUGCACAAAGUGCCCAGUACGCUGCUUAUCUAUUGCUGCACAACAAACCAUUCCAAACCCAGUGGCUUAAAACAGCUCGUUGGCUUACUAUUUGGACUGAGAACAGCUGGGUUUUUCUACUGCUGGCCUCUCAUAGACUCAGUCCUGCAUCUGUGGUGAGCUGAGUGGUUCUACUUCUGGCUGUCAGCAGGGUCCUGGUGUCCAGUCCAAGCUUCUUUACACAGGAGCAGCAGCAUGAGUCCCCAGAGCAGCAAAAGACAAGCCCCCACAUGCAGGCGGGUUUCAAGACUCUGCCUGAGACAUGUGUGCUGAUGCCCUCUUGGCUAAAGCAAGUCACCUGGCCAGGCUAGAUUCAAGGGCCAAGGACAUGGGUGCUACCCUCUCAGUACGAGGAUUUUUAUUGUCAGUGUAUGAACUGAAGGGUGGAAAAGAGUUGGGGCUAAUUUUGCAACUUACCUUACAGAGAAACAGAGCUGAGCUUGUUGGUAUGACUUUACUUUUUAUUCCCAGGUUUGAAGUGCCACACAAACAGGUGAAAUUAGUCCUGUACUUUACAUAGCAGCAUAUUUUAUAGUAAAAUGUUAAUAAGUUGAUGAGUCCUCAAAAAUAAUUGGAACUUCCUUGAGCAAACUGUCAGUUUUAUUUAAGGUUUAAGACUCUAUGCAAAGUUACACAUGGAAAUGCAAAUUUAAAUUCUUCAUAGACGGUUUGCCUGUGUGUGUAUGUGUGUGUGUGUGUGUGCUUGUGUACACACACAUACACCAGGAAUUGAACCCAGGAGGGCUUAACCACUGAGCAACAUCCCCAGCCCUUUCCACUUUAUUAUUUUGAGACAGUGUCUCUCUAAGUUUCACAGGGCCUCACUAAGUUGCUGAGGCUGGCUUUAAACUUGUGAUCCUUCUGCCUCAGCCUCCCAAGUUGCUGGGUUUAUAUCUUUUAUAAAAUCCCAGCCCUUCUAAAAUCUAACCCUGUGAGAUCUUUCUUGUGCAUUCAGGCAGGUCACACCUUUAUGUAAUGCCAUCUUUAAGAGAUUCAUGAGCACUCACAGUAGAAUUUAGAACUCUGGAAUAUAUACCAAUUUUCCCUAAAUCCAAUCUGUGUUUAGCAAUUAAACUGAGUGUCAUACCAAAUCCUUUUAACUGUCACUCAUUGAACUUACAUAUAAACCAUCUGGGUACUGGGCACCAUGCUAAGGGCUGUGACUAUCACAGGAACAGAAGGAAGAAGGUGGGCAGGAGCUGAGCCUACCUUCUUGUAUCUUAUGGUUCAUGGGACAUAUACCAGUGACUUCUUAAAGAAAUACAGUUCAAGAAUUUCAAUUCAUUUUCAAAAUUAAAGUGAAUUUUGCAUUUUUAAAUAUUCACCCUUAGAUCACUUUUAAUUUUCAUAAAGCCUCUCUCCUCUGAAGAAGGUUUAAAAGUAACUGACUUUCUUCUCUUCAUCAUGAAAUUGUCACCAAGUUAUUUUCAGUUCUGACUGUCCUGAAGCUUCUUCUGAGGAUAUUAAUCUCUCUGGGCAGUUGAAAUAAAUUCCAAGUAAAUUUCCUCGUACACAGAACCAGGCUUUUACUUAGACACCUCUUCAAAGGAAGCUGCUCCACUGAGCCAGGCUGGGGCAGGGUGAGAGCAGACAACAUGGGCCACUGUCAUCACCCCUAACACUGUCCUUUAAAAAUGCACAAAAUCUGGUCCUCAACAAAUCUGAAAGGAGCAAGGUCCACUCUUGACACAGAACCACCUGUCCUUUCAAGUGCUCUUGGUAUUUUUCUAUUUUAGCUGCAUAAGUUGUCCAGGGCUUGUUGUUUUCAUGUUUUUAAUAACUAUUUGCAAUAAUUACCUUCUUAUAGAGUUUUCAUUUGAACAUCAACGUAGAUGCCCAGAGUAAGACAGAGUUUUAGCUAGUUUGGCUAAUCAGUUUAACAUUCCUUCCUUAGAUCCUCACAGUAAAGAAAAAUAAUGAAUCCUAGCAGUUUGGCUCCAAAGUCUAUGUGCCUCGUCAAUGCACCUCACAGCCUCACCUGGUAUCCCCUGUGAGUGUGAACAGAAGAAUGGGUAGUGUGUCUCUGGUGCUGAGCAGAGAGGAUGCUCUAUCUGAAAGAGGGAAAAGUAAUCAUAUCAAUAUCACCACAGAUUGAGAGCUUUACACAUGGCUCCAUGUAUACCUUCAUUCACUUUGGUUUUUCUGUAUAGAGGAGGACUUUAGGUGAUACACCAAAGAACUUUUUUCAGUUUUAAUGCAUGUGGCAGAUACUGUAUAUUGACUUAACUGCUAUGUCAGUCAAUACUGCCUACAACAUAAAGGCUGGAAAUGCAAAUCACCUUCCCUACCUUCCCUGAAGCAGCCAUGUGACCUAAGUGUCUUUCAAAAAGAUACAUCCUCAAACAUUUCAGCAGGGGAACAAGCACUGUGAUUUGGCAGGUAGAGUGGGUGUUUGGAUUACAAGUGUAGAAUGGUGACAGCCCCUCUGGGCCACUGCAGUGAGGUGCUACAGCUGUUGCUGAGGUUUCCAGGACUUCUCCUGGCCUAUGCUUUGUGUGCUUCCUAGCUGUCAGUGCUCCUGGCUAUGGUGUGCAGGUGUGGGCCUCUGGACCUUUCAGACAUUUUAAGCACCAUCUAACAUCCUUUAGUAAAAAUUCUUCAUGCUUAAAUUAGAUACAGUGGAUUGUAUUAUUUGCAACUAAUUAUCUUUACUUAGAUAUGUAUAUGGCUAGCCCACUGAAUCCUGUGAUUUCACAAAAAUCAUUGCUUUGCAUGUGCUCAUGUUUAAAACAUAGUCAAUUGAAAGAAAACUAUUUAAGAUAAGUGGCAUAUGAACAUGCUGAAACUGUGAAGCCAGUGAGUGAAUGACUCGAAUCUAGAAAAUGUUCCUCAUUAAUUAAUGAAGUGUAAUGUUUUCUUAUUUUUCACUUUUUUAUUUGUUAUUUUUAGAUAUAGAUGACAGUAGAGUGUAUUUUGACAUAUUAUACAUACAUGGAGUAUAAUUUACUCUAAUUAGGAUCCCAUUCUUGUGGUUGUAUGUGAUGUGGUUUCACUGGUGGUGUAUUCGUAUAUGAACAUAGGAAAGUUAAUUUCCACAACCCUCCAUACAAACAAACUGAAAUUUAAAGAGGUUUGGUAAUAUGUCCAAUUUCACAUACCAGGGAACAAGAACCCAGGUCCUCCUCCCUCAUAUAUGUAGCACCCGCAUUCCCUCAUAGUUACAGCUCACAAAUAAAAUUGAUAAGCCAGGCAUGGAGGCACAUAUCUAUAAUCCCAUUGUCUCUGGAGGCUGAGGCAAGACGAUCAGGAAUUCAAAGCCAGCUUCAGCAACUUAGUAAGGCCCUAAAUACCUUGCUGAGAUCCUGUCUCAAAAUAAAAAAAUAAGAGCUGGGGAUAUGGUUCAGUAGUUAAGUACCAUGGAUUCAAUUCCUAAUACAAAAAUAAAUAAAUAAAUAAACCUGAUAAAAUACGAUUAGAUUUUAAACUUUGGUCUCUAUGAGUUUGAAUUGUGCUAUAUGAGAUUUUCACCCCAUCCCUGGAAAAUAAUAUUCCUGGUGGAUAUAUGUGGCCAGCUUGGAAACCCAUAAGAAUUUAGGAGCAUGGAAAAUAAGGGGAACUUUAGAGUCUUCCUAGCAAGAAAAAAAAAAAAAAAACACUGUCAUGACUCCCAAAUGGCUUUAAAAUCUUAGAAAUCUAUAGUUGAAGGUUUUUAGGCUUCAACAGUAUUUAAUUAUAACUUCUAGAAAAAAUGUUGUCACGGGUGUUUUUCAGAGGGCAAAUCUCUAGUUUUUAUUUUUAUUUUUGGUGGAGGGUGAACAUGGAUGUAACCCCAGAAAAAGAAGCAAGAGCGAGUCCAUCAGGGAAGGAAAGCAAAUAAAAUGAACCUGUAACUGAGCUGGCAGUACCUUCGCCGCAGACAAAGCCAGCUGCUCAAUCUCCAGGUCCUCUGCAGACAGGCUGUGUGCAGUCCUACAACUCAGGAAAGUCUGGAGGUGGGAGAAGAAAUGCAAGUAAUUUAAGCAGUGUCUCUUCUUCUCCUAUCUUUCAUUGUAAGUGUCCACCCCUGGUGAAUUAAGUCUCCUGCACCCUGGAUGUUCCCAGGCUCUUCUGAGUAGUGGGAAGGCGGAGUCCCUGAAAGCAGGCAGAUGCAGGUACAGCAGUCUCUCCUUGUCAAUGGCUGCCAUAAAGGACCCCAAAGUAUAUGUCAGCAGACAGACAGCAGCCUGGGCUUUCACCCAUGGAAAGAGAGUCAAUUGUCACACUGUGAAUCUGAGGCCCAGGGGCUGGACAGGGCCAAGCUGACCUUGAACAGUGAAUAAAAAGGACCUGGGACAACUGCAGACCAUGUGCUCAUAAAAUUUUUAUGUGACCAUAAUCUUUCUGUUGAAUUCAUGCUUCUUCUAUGUCUUUUAAGUUUCUGCCCAACUGUAUUCUAAAAAGGGUGAAAUAUUUCUAUUCAGAAAUUCAUUGAACUGCUAUCUUCCAAGGAUAUUGACCUAUACCCUUGAGGCUAAGUAUAUCUGCUGUAGAAAAAUGCAUCUGUUCAACUAUUUGAUAUAAAAAUUAGAUUUUUUUUAAAUUAACCUGUAAAACUGUAAACUUAAAAACUACUUCAAUAACAGGAAGUUCAACACUUUCUGACCUUGUGAUAAUUAACCAUGACCCCUGUGACUGUGUUAUAAUAUUUCUUUAUUCAGAACGUGCCUAAGGGCCUCCCUCCUUGAAUAUUAUCAAUUUUUCAGUAAAAUACAAUAUCUCUAGCAGGGAAUGUAGCUCAGCACUUACCUAGCAAGCUCCAGGCCCUAAGUUCAAUCCCCAGCACCCCUCCCCACUCCCAAAUUAUAAAAUGCAACAUAUAAUUUUUCCAGAGUUGUAAAAACCUACAAGCAAUAUAUAUGUUUAAUAAUCUGUGGUGGUAAAACUACAAAUAUGAAGUUUUAGAAUAGCCGUUAACAUCAUGACAGGACUAAAGAUAUGGAGAGAUGCUCUCAAAUUACACUGGAGAUUUGAAGCAUGAAUCAAAUUCCGUCCCCACACACAAAAGAUAUGAUUCUACACACAGAAAAGAUAAAACAAAUCAUGAAUUUAGAUGAUUUUGCUUAAUCCCUUCUAUAUCUCGAUUCUUUCCGAAUUUUCUAUAAAUAUUUUUAUUACUUUUUAAUCAGAAGUUAUACUUCAGAUGAAUCUAAAAAAUGCUCUAAAUUGAGAGCUUUGAUAAGAACUUGAAAGCAAACUGUUUAAUAAUUUAAGCAGAAAUCUAAUCACUUGUAUCCUGGACUGUGUGAACAAAGGGAUUUGAUUAGCUUAGACAAAUAACUCUUAUGCUACAGAGGCAAAGCCAGGAGAGCUUGUGGGAAAUGCAAAUUCAUUUCAUCAGUUCCAAUUCUGUACAUCUGGGUAAGAGCAGAAACCUGCAUCUCAUCAAGCUACAAGAUGAUUUUAACGUUGGUGGGGCCACCCUUUGAUCAACUCUGGCCAAAAGACAAGCCCAAGGCAUCAAAAUUUCAGAGACUCUCCAUCCAGAAACAAUGCUGUUCUGACCCAGGGAAUUCCAGGGUUCUGGCCCCUGUUGUAGAUGCUUCUGUAGACAUGACACUAUCUCCCCUGCGUUCAUCCAUGCUUUUUUAGCAGAUUUCCUAUGAUUGGCUUUCCUUGUGGUUUUUCUAAGAAGAAAAUAUUACUGCUUUGUCAAUAGUGGCAGUUGGGUUUGUCUGUCUUCUCUGUAACAUAAUAAAUUGGUACUCAGUUUAUAGAUCGGUCUCUCUGAGUUCAGUUAAUGUGAAUCUACUCCCCUGAAAAUUUGGUCCAUUUUCAGACAGGCAUGUAAGCUAUAAUAGCUGGAAUCUCUUAGCAAGGAGUUAGUGAGCCUCUUUCUCACAAUAGUAUAUCCAUUGUUAUUGCCAACCUGUCAGCACUUUCCAUGUUUCUGAUACAGCAUCUUGAAUUUCCUUUGGGAAUCACUCCAAGAUUCUUCCAAAAUCCAAAAAUAGCCCCUUACUCUAGGCCCAUCUAUUUGAACUCAACCUUAAGAGUUUUGAUUAAAAUAAAGGUAAAGCUUAGAUCCAUUGGUCUUUGUCAUGGAGCCACAAGGGGAAAAACAUGCUUGAGAAUGAAGCCACUAUGAACAAAAGAACUAAGAGACAGACAUAAAUUAGAGCUAGAGAAAGACAAAGAGAUAAUAAUAAAAAUAAAAUGGGGUCAUUAUUUGAAUCUUGGAUAUAGCUGGUCCACCCAUUAUCUGUGCUCAUGAGCUGAUGUGUUCCUUUUCUGGAUUCUGCCAGUUGGGAUUAGGUUUCCUUCCUUUACUAUGGUAAAAAAAUCUAAACUGAAACAACACUGCUCUGUUUCCAUGUACAGAGCAUCCCUUCCAGUGAACAAGUAACCUUAGUUCCAAAGACCCUGCACUUAUUUGGAGGACAUUUAAAACAAUCACACUCAUGGGAAGUGUGGAUUGCCAGACAUUAACGGCAAGGCAAGUCAGCUUCAUGUGCAACUAGGAAGAACCUAAGGCUGUCACUAGAAAACAAUGAUAGCACAGGCUGGGGCUUUCUAUUUCUAAGGAUGGUUUCCACUUGGCAUCAUGACAAAGGAGUAAAAACAUAGGUGCUCUGUGAAUCUUGCUGUGUCACAGAGUAUUUCCAUGCUUAUGUUUUAGGACUAUCACUUACGAAAUGGGAGGAAACCACCUUGUUCUCAGUGCCCCACAAAGGGACAGGAGCUGACAGCUGUACACCACCAUAGUCAAGCACCUUAGUUCUGAGCUUGGAGAGGAAAGGGACCUGGUCUGCAGGAAAAACAGUGCCUGACUGCAUUCACAGACUUCAGUUACACACAAAAUUCCUUUUGCCUGCUCUUUCUAAGUUACAUGAAACAAUUAAAAGAAGAAAAAAAAAACUGAUUUCUAGGGACACAAAUACAAACAACUUUUCCAGAAAAAUUAGGCUCUGAAUAGGGACUUUUCCAAUAUGUCAAAUAAACUUUAUUAUUUAUUUA